AGAUCACUGCUAUUGGGGUCCGACUAAGCCAUGCGAGUCGAGAGGGUUCGGCCCUCGGCAAACGGCUCAGUAACACGUGGGUAACCUACCCUCAGGACAGGGAUAACCCCGGAAAACUGGGGAUAAUACCUGAUAGGUGGAUAUGUCUGGAAUGACUUUCCGCUCAAAUGCUCCGGCGCCUGAGGAUGGGCCUGCGACCGAUUAGGUUGUUGGCGGUGUAAUGGACCACCAAGCCUGCGAUCGGUACGGGCGUUGAGAGACGUAGCCCGGAGAUGGGGACUGAGACACGGCCCCAGGCCCUACGGGGCGCAGCAGGCGCGAAAACUCCGCAAUACACGAAAGUGUGACGGGGGGACCCCAAGUGCAUUCACGCAAGUGAAUGCUUUUGUGAAGUGUAAAUAGCUUCACGAAUAAGAGCUGGGUAAGACCGGUGCCAGCCGCCGCGGUAACACCGGCAGCUCGAGUGGUGAUCAUUAUUAUUGGGCCUAAAGCGUCCGUAGCCGGUUUGAUAAGUCCUUGGGCAAAUCCUGCCGCUUAACGGUAGGAAUUCUGAGGAUACUGUCAGACUUGAGGCCGAGAGAGGUCGGAGGUACUCCUGGGGUAGCGGUGAAAUGCUAUAAUCCUAGGGGGACCACCAGUGGCGAAAGCGUCCGACCAGAGCGGGCCUGACGGUAAGGGACGAAAGCCAGGGGCGCGAACGGGAUUAGAUACCCCGGUAGUCCUGGCCGUAAACGCUGUGGGCUAGGUGUUGCAUGCUCUACGAGGGCGUGCAGUGCCGAAGAGAAGUUGAUAAGCCUACCGCCUGGGAAGUACUAUCGCAAGAUAGAAACUUAAAGGAAUUGGCGGGGGAGCACCACAAGGGGUGAAGUCUGCGGUUUAAUUGGAUUCAACGCCGGAAAUCUCACUGGAAGCGACGGCAGUAUGAUGGCCAAGCUGAUGACUUUGCUUGACGAGCCGAGAGGAGGUGCAUGGCCGUCGUCAGCUCGUACCGUAAGGCGUCCUGUUAAGUCAGGCAACGAGCGAGACCCGUACCUUUAUUUGUCAGUUAUUCCCUGCGGGGAAUGAGACCCAUUAAAGGAACCGCUGCUGAUAAAGCAGAGGAAGGAGCGAGCAACGAUAGGUCAGUAUGCCCCGAAUCUUCCAGGCUACACGCGGACUGCAAUGGCUGGUACAAUGGGCCACGACUCCGGAAGGAGAAGUAAAUCCCGAAAGCCAGUCUUAGUUCGGAUUGUGGGCUGUAACUUGCCCACAUGAAGCCGGAAUCCCUAGUAAUCGCGUGUCAUUAUCGCGCGGUGAAUACGUCCCUGCUCCUUGCACACACCGCCCGUCACACCACCCGAGUGAGGUUUAGAUGAGGCAAUGGCCUCUGGUUAUUGUCGAGUCUGGGUUUUACAAGGGGGGUG
rnacentral:rRNA from 1 species